CCUACGGGAGGCAGCAGUCGGGAAUAUUGCACAAUGGAGGAAACUCUGAUGCAGUGACGCCGCGUGCAGGACGAAGGUUUUCGGAUUGUAAACUGCCUUAGACAGGGAAGCAACAAGACAGUACAUGUCGUAUCAGCUCCGGCUAACUACGUGCCAGCAGCCGCGGUAAUACGGAGGGAGCACGCGUUAUCCGGAUUUAUUGGGUGUAACGGGUGCGUAGACGGGGAUGUAAAUUAAUUGUGAAAUCCCUCGUCUUAACUGAGGAACUGCAACUGAAACUGAAUUUCUUGAGAGCUGGAGAGGAAAGUGGAAUGCCCAGUGUAGCGGUGAAAUGCGUAGAUAUUAGGAGGAACACCAGUGGCGAAGGCGACUUUCUGGACCGGAACUGACGUUGAGGCACGAAAGUGUGGGUAUCAAACAGGAUUAGAUACCCGAGUAGUC
rnacentral:rRNA from 1 species